UGGGGGAUAUUGCACAAUGGGCGAAAGCCUGAUGCAGCGACGCCGCGUGGGGGAUGAAGGCCUUCGGGUUGUAAACUUCUUUUGCUCUGAACAAGGCGCACCAUGGGGUGUGUUGAGUGUAGGGGUUGAUUAGCGCCGGCUAACUACGUGCCAGCAGCCGCGGUAAUACGUAGGGCGCGUGCGUUGUCCGGAAUUAUUGGGCGUAAAGGGCUUGUAGGUGGCUGGUUGCGUCUGUCGUGAAAGCUCAUGGCUUAACUGUGGGUUUGCGGUGGGUACGGGCUGGCUUGAGUGCAGUAGGGGAGGCUGGAAUUCCUGGUGUAGCGGUUGAAUGCGCAGAUAUCAGGAGGAAUGCCGGUUGCUAAGGCGUGUCUCUGGGCUGUUACUGACACUGAGGAGCGAAAGCAUGGGGAGCGAACAGG
rnacentral:rRNA from 1 species